ACCAAACAUGCGAGGCAGUCUUGCUUUACAAUGGCUUACUUUUUUUUUUUUUUUUUUUUUUUGAGGCAGAGUCUUGCUCUGUCACCCAGGCCGGAGUGCAGUGGUGCAAUCUUAGCUCAUUGCGUAAUUGCUGAUAGAUUUUGGUUUAUGUCUACCUCAUUGCUAUCCGUUUUAUAUUUGAUCCCUUUUAUUUCUCUCCUUUUU
rnacentral:lncRNA from 1 species